rnacentral:rRNA from 1 species
GACGAACGCUGGCGGCGUGCCUAACACAUGCAAGUGGAGCGACGAACCGGGGCUUGCCCCGGGGCAGAGCCGCGAACGGGUGAGUAACACGUGGGUGACCUGCCCCGAUGACUGGGACAACCCGUCGAAAGACGGGCUAAUACCGGAUGUGCCCCUUGGGGGAAAGGAAGCUUCGGCCUCCGCAUCGGGAUGGGCCCGCGGCGCAUUAGCUUGUUGGUGGGGUAAUGGCUUACCAAGGCGACGAUGCGUAGCUGGUCUGAGAGGACGAUCAGCCACACUGGGACUGAGACACGCCCCAGCCCCCGGCGGGAGGCGGCGGGGGGGAAUCUGGCACAAUGCGGGAAAGUGGGAUGCAGCAACGCGGCGGGGGGGAAGAAGGCCUUUGGUUUGUAACCCGUUUUAGGUGGGGAGGAGGCUUCGUUGGGGAAUAGCGGUGUGGAGGGACGGUACCUAAAAAAGAGGCCCCGGCAAACUACGUG